rnacentral:rRNA from 1 species
UUCCGGUUGAUCCUGCCGGAGGCCAUUGCUAUUGGGAUUCGAUUUAGCCAUGCUAGUCGCACGAGUUCAGACUCGUGGCGAAUAGCUCAGUAACACGUGGCCAAACUACCCUUCGGAACACAAUACCCUCGGGAAACUGAGGCUAAUAGUGUAUACCACAGUCCACCUGGAAUGAGGACUGUGCCAAACGCUCCGGCGCCGAAGGAUGUGGCUGCGGCCGAUUAGGUAGACGGUGGGGUAACGGCCCACCGUGCCAAUAAUCGGUACGGGUCAUGAGAGUGAGAACCCGGAGACGGAAUCUGAGACAAGAUUCCGGGCCCUACGGGGCGCAGCAGGCGCGAAACCUUUACACUGCACGACAGUGCGAUAAGGGAAUCCCAAGUGCGUAGGCAUAGAGCCUACGCUUUUGUCCACUGUAGGGAGGUGGACGAAUAAGGGCUGGGCAAGACCGGUGCCAGCCGCCGCGGUAAUACCGGCAGCCCGAGUGAUGGCCGAUCUUAUUGGGCCUAAAGCGUCCGUAGCCGGCCGCGCAAGUCUAUCGGAAAAUCCACCCGCUCAACGGGUGGGCGUCCGGUAGAAACUGCGUGGCUUGGGACCGGAAGGCGCGACGGGUACGUCCGGGGUAGGAGUGAAAUCCUGUAAUCCUGGACGGACCGCCGAUGGCGAAAGCACGUCGCGAAGACGGAUCCGACAGUGAGGGACGAAAGCUAGGGUCUCGAACCGGAUUAGAUACCCGGGUAGUCCUAGCCGUAAACAAUGCCUGUUAGGUGUGGCUCCCACUACGAGUGGGUGCUGUGCCGUAGGGAAGCCGCUAAACAGGCCGCCUGGGAAGUACGUCCGCAAGGAUGAAACUUAAAGGAAUUGGCGGGGGAGCACUACAACCGGAGGAGCCUGCGGUUUAAUUGGAGUCAACGCCGGG